GGAAGAACGAGGUUCAAUCGGCAGUAACCGAUACAACAGAGUAAAAUUGAUUAUUAGUCAGACCGAAUUUGAUACCAGCUGGAUAGGACAAAGAUCAUAGUAGUCCAAAAUAUUCUAAACGAACUCUAGAAUCGAAAAUCGAAGAUCCGCCUAAAGAUCUUCGACACAAAAGGCCACCUGAUCUGAAGGAGAAGCGUUCACCUGAUCAUCGGCACC
rnacentral:lncRNA from 1 species